GAAAUAUGGGUCAAGAAGGAGCUGCUAACUCCCAUCUUUAGCGGUUUAACUCCGUUUAUAUUUCU
rnacentral:tRNA from 1 species